rnacentral:rRNA from 1 species
GGGUUGUGAGGUUAAGCGACUAAGCGUACACGGUGGAUGCCCUGGCAGUCAGAGGCGAUGAAGGACGUGCUAAUCUGCGAUAAGCGUCGGUAAGGUGAUAUGAACCGUUAUAACCGGCGAUUUCCGAAUGGGGAAACCCAGUGUGUUUCGACACACUAUCAUUAACUGAAUCCAUAGGUUAAUGAGGCGAACCGGGGGAACUGAAACAUCUAAGUACCCCGAGGAAAAGAAAUCAACCGAGAUUCCCCCAGUAGCGGCGAGCGAACGGGGAGCAGCCCAGAGCCUGAAUCAGUGUGUGUGUUAGUGGAAGCGUCUGGAAAGGCGCGCGAUACAGGGUGACAGCCCCGUACACAAAAAUGCACAUGCUGUGAGCUCGAUGAGUAGGGCGGGACACGUGGUAUCCUGUCUGAAUAUGGGGGGACCAUCCUCCAAGGCUAAAUACUCCUGACUGACCGAUAGUGAACCAGUACCGUGAGGGAAAGGCGAAAAGAACCCCGGCGAGGGGAGUGAAAAAGAACCUGAAACCGUGUACGUACAAGCAGUGGGAGCACAGAGCAAUCUGUGUGACUGCGUACCUUUUGUAUAAUGGGUCAGCGACUUAUAUUCUGUAGCAAGGUUAACCGAAUAGGGGAGCCGAAGGGAAACCGAGUCUUAACUGGGCGUUAAGUUGCAGGGUAUAGACCCGAAACCCGGUGAUCUAGCCAUGGGCAGGUUGAAGGUUGGGUAACACUAACUGGAGGACCGAACCGACUAAUGUUGAAAAAUUAGCGGAUGACUUGUGGCUGGGGGUGAAAGGCCAAUCAAACCGGGAGAUAGCUGGUUCUCCCCGAAAGCUAUUUAGGUAGCGCCUCGUGAAUUCAUCUCCGGGGGUAGAGCACUGUUUCGGCAAGGGGGUCAUCCCGACUUACCAACCCGAUGCAAACUGCGAAUACCGGAGAAUGUUAUCACGGGAGACACACGGCGGGUGCUAACGUCCGUCGUGAAGAGGGAAACAACCCAGACCGCCAGCUAAGGUCCCAAAGUCAUGGUUAAGUGGGAAACGAUGUGGGAAGGCCCAGACAGCCAGGAUGUUGGCUUAGAAGCAGCCAUCAUUUAAAGAAAGCGUAAUAGCUCACUGGUCGAGUCGGCCUGCGCGGAAGAUGUAACGGGGCUAAACCAUGCACCGAAGCUGCGGCAGCGACGCUUAUGCGUUGUUGGGUAGGGGAGCGUUCUGUAAGCCUGUGAAGGUGUGCUGUGAGGCAUGCUGGAGGUAUCAGAAGUGCGAAUGCUGACAUAAGUAACGAUAAAGCGGGUGAAAAGCCCGCUCGCCGGAAGACCAAGGGUUCCUGUCCAACGUUAAUCGGGGCAGGGUGAGUCGACCCCUAAGGCGAGGCCGAAAGGCGUAGUCGAUGGGAAACAGGUUAAUAUUCCUGUACUUGGUGUUACUGCGAAGGGGGGACGGAGAAGGCUAUGUUGGCCGGGCGACGGUUGUCCCGGUUUAAGCGUGUAGGCUGGUUUUCCAGGCAAAUCCGGAAAAUCAAGGCUGAGGCGUGAUGACGAGGCACUACGGUGCUGAAGCAACAAAUGCCCUGCUUCCAGGAAAAGCCUCUAAGCAUCAGGUAACAUCAAAUCGUACCCCAAACCGACACAGGUGGUCAGGUAGAGAAUACCAAGGCGCUUGAGAGAACUCGGGUGAAGGAACUAGGCAAAAUGGUGCCGUAACUUCGGGAGAAGGCACGCUGAUAUGUAGGUGAAGUCCCUCGCGGAUGGAGCUGAAAUCAGUCGAAGAUACCAGCUGGCUGCAACUGUUUAUUAAAAACACAGCACUGUGCAAACACGAAAGUGGACGUAUACGGUGUGACGCCUGCCCGGUGCCGGAAGGUUAAUUGAUGGGGUUAGCGCAAGCGAAGCUCUUGAUCGAAGCCCCGGUAAACGGCGGCCGUAACUAUAACGGUCCUAAGGUAGCGAAAUUCCUUGUCGGGUAAGUUCCGACCUGCACGAAUGGCGUAAUGAUGGCCAGGCUGUCUCCACCCGAGACUCAGUGAAAUUGAACUCGCUGUGAAGAUGCAGUGUACCCGCGGCAAGACGGAAAGACCCCGUGAACCUUUACUAUAGCUUGACACUGAACAUUGAGCCUUGAUGUGUAGGAUAGGUGGGAGGCUUUGAAGUGUGGACGCCAGUCUGCAUGGAGCCGACCUUGAAAUACCACCCUUUAAUGUUUGAUGUUCUAACGUUGACCCGUAAUCCGGGUUGCGGACAGUGUCUGGUGGGUAGUUUGACUGGGGCGGUCUCCUCCUAAAGAGUAACGGAGGAGCACGAAGGUUGGCUAAUCCUGGUCGGACAUCAGGAGGUUAGUGCAAUGGCAUAAGCCAGCUUGACUGCGAGCGUGACGGCGCGAGCAGGUGCGAAAGCAGGUCAUAGUGAUCCGGUGGUUCUGAAUGGAAGGGCCAUCGCUCAACGGAUAAAAGGUACUCCGGGGAUAACAGGCUGAUACCGCCCAAGAGUUCAUAUCGACGGCGGUGUUUGGCACCUCGAUGUCGGCUCAUCACAUCCUGGGGCUGAAGUAGGUCCCAAGGGUAUGGCUGUUCGCCAUUUAAAGUGGUACGCGAGCUGGGUUUAGAACGUCGUGAGACAGUUCGGUCCCUAUCUGCCGUGGGCGCUGGAGAACUGAGGGGGGCUGCUCCUAGUACGAGAGGACCGGAGUGGACGCAUCACUGGUGUUCGGGUUGUCAUGCCAAUGGCACUGCCCGGUAGCUAAAUGCGGAAGAGAUAAGUGCUGAAAGCAUCUAAGCACGAAACUUGCCCCGAGAUGAGUUCUCCCUGACCCUUUAAGGGUCCUGAAGGAACGUUGAAGACGACGACGUUGAUAGGCCGGGUGUGUAAGCGCAGCGAUGCGUUGAGCUAACCGGUACUAAUGAACCGUGAGGCUUAACCUUACAACGCCGAAG